AACGAACGCUGGCGGCAGGCUUAACACAUGCAAGUCGAGCGCCCCGCAAGGGGAGCGGCAGACGGGUGAGUAACGCGUGGGAACGUACCCUUCGCUACGGAAUAGCUCCGGGAAACUGGAAUUAAUACCGUAUGUGCCCUAUGGGGGAAAGAUUUGUCGGCAAAGGAUCGGCCCGCGUUGGAUUAGCUAGUUGGUGGGGUAAAGGCCUACCAAGGCGACGAUCCAUAGCUGGUCUGAGAGGAUGAUCAGCCACAUUGGGACUGCGACACGGCCCAAACUCCUACGGGAGGCAGCAGUGGGGAAUAUUGGACAAUGGGCGCAAGCCUGAUCCAGCCAUGCCGCGUGAGUGAUGAAGGCCUUAGGGUUGUAAAGCUCUUUCACCGGUGAAGAUAAUGACGGUAACCGGAGAAGAAGCCCCGGCUAACUUCGUGCCAGCCGCCGCGGUAA
rnacentral:rRNA from 1 species